rnacentral:rRNA from 1 species
CCUACGGGAGGCAGCAGUGGGGAAUUUUGGACAAUGGGCGAAAGCCUGAUCCAGCAAUGCCGCGUGCAGGAAGAAGGCCUUCGGGUUGUAAACUGCUUUUGUACGGAACGAAACGGUUCGCUUUAAUACAGUGGGCUAAUGACGGUACCGUAAGAAUAAGCACCGGCUAACUACGUGCCAGCAGCCGCGGUAAUACGUAGGGUGCGAGCGUUAAUCGGAAUUACUGGGCGUAAAGCGUGCGCAGGCGGUUAUAUAAGACAGUUGUGAAAUCCCCGGGCUCAACCUGGGAAUUGCAUCUGUGACUGUAUAGCUAGAGUACGGUAGAGGGGGAUGGAAUUCCGCGUGUAGCAGUGAAAUGCGUAGAUAUGCGGAGGAACACCGAUGGCGAAGGCAAUCCCCUGGACCUGUACUGACGCUCAUGCACGAAAGCGUGGGGAGCAAACAGGAUUAGAUACCCUGGUAGUCCACGCCCUAAACGAUGUCAACUGGUUGUUGGGUGCAUUAGUACUCAGUAACGAAGCUAACGCGUGAAGUUGACCGCCUGGGGAGUACGGCCGCAAGGUUGAAACUUAAUGAAUUGACCGGNUGAGAGNGACGAGACGACGACGAGGGAGGAGG